rnacentral:lncRNA from 1 species
CGGCAAUGAGCAGAUUGCAGAGAGCGUGAAGAGCAGCACAGUCCCCACGAGGUAGAUGCAUCCUCACAUACCCUGCUCAGUAUCAGUCAUGACGCGGGGCAGACCCUGCUGCAGAUGCAUUCAUCCCCACUGUGCAUCCCAUACCUGCUGCAGCCCCAUGAGCCUGGGAGGUCUGAGGGCACCGUGCCAGCAUCACAGCACUGGGAGGGAAAUCCGUGCAGCCUGUGCCUGCGUGUUUGCAAACGGCCAUCGCAGUGCCGUGCGUAACACUUAAGCUGAAUGAGAGACUAAAUAAAGAUUAAAUGGAGACGGAUGCCUCUAUUUGCAUUAGGAGAGGUUUUGAAUCUCUUCUCGUUUGCUUUCCCGGAGCAGUUUGCAGGUGAGCCGUUGGCCUGCCAGGCCCUGUGCAGUGAGGAUUUUUAUCCCCGAAGUUUGCU